UACAUAAAGUCAGACAGACAAAAGGCAGACAGACAGAAAUACAGAAAGUCAGACAGACAAAAGGUAGACAGACAGAAAUACAGAAAGUCAGACAGACAAAAGGUAGACAGACAGACAGACAGGCAGACAGACAGAAAUACAGAAAGUCAGACAGACAAAAGGUAGACAGACAGAAAUACAGAAAGUCAGACAGACAAAAGGUAGACAGACAGAAAUACAGAAAGUCAGACAGACAAAAGGCAGACAGACAGAAAUACAGAAAGUCAGACAGACAAAAGGUAGACAGACAGACAGAAAGGCAGACAAAAGGUAGACAGACAGAAAUACAGAAAGUCAGACAGACAAAAGGUAGACAGACAGACAGAAAGGCAGACAAAAGGUAGACAGACAGAAAUACAGAAAGUCAGACAGACAAAAGGUAGACAGACAGAAAUACAGAACGUCAGACAGACAAAAGGUAGACAGACAGAAAGGCAGACAAAAGGUAGACAGACAGAAAUACAGAAAGUCA